rnacentral:rRNA from 1 species
GUACUUGUACUGAUUGAGAUUUUAACACGAAGUGAGUGGCGAACGGGUGAGUAACACGUGGGUAACCUGCCCAGAAGUAGGGGAUAACACCUGGAAACAGAUGCUAAUACCGUAUAACAGAGAAAACCGCAUGGUUUUCUUUUAAAAGAUGGCUCUGCUAUCACUUCUGGAUGGACCCGCGGCGUAUUAGCUAGUUGGUGAGGUAAAGGCUCACCAAGGCAGUGAUACGUAGCCGACCUGAGAGGGUAAUCGGCCACAUUGGGACUGAGACACGGCCCAGACUCCUACGGGAGGCAGCAGUAGGGAAUCUUCCACAAUGGACGCAAGUCUGAUGGAGCAACGCCGCGUGAGUGAAG